rnacentral:rRNA from 1 species
UGGAGUGCUUGCACAAGUCAGAUUUGGUUUACCACUUAGUGGCAGACGGGUGAGUAACACGUGGGUAACCUACCUCAAAGACUGGGACAACAGUUGGAAACGACUGCUAAUACCGGAUAAUCCAUAUUUAGAUAACUUAGAUAUGUUAAAAGAAGCGUUUGCUUCACUUUGAGAUGGGCUUGCGGCGCAUUAGAUAGUUGGUGGGGUAAUGGCCUACCAAGUCGACGAUGCGUAUCCGAGCUGAGAGGCUGAUCGGACACACUGGGACUGAGACACGGCCCAGACUCCUACGGGAGACAGCAGUUAGGAAUAUUCGUCAAUGGGGGAAACCCUGAACGAGCAAUGCCGCGUGAGUGAUGAAGGCCCUAUGGGUCGUAAAACUCUGUUAUAAGGGAAGAAACCUUGGUAUAGGAAAUGAUAUCAAGCUGACGGUACCUUAUCAGAAAGCCCCGGCUAACUACGUG